rnacentral:rRNA from 1 species
AUUGAACGCUGGCGGCGUGCCUAACACAUGCAAGUCGAGCGGUAACAGGUGUAGCAAUACAUGCUGACGAGCGGCGAACGGGUGAGUAAUGCUUCGGAAUCUACCCAAUGGUGGGGAAUAACCAGCCGAAAGGUUGGCUAAUACCGCAUACGUCCCACGGGAGAAAGCAGGGGAUCGCAAGACCUUGCGCCAAUGGAUGAGCCGAAGUCGGAUUAGCUAGUUGGAGGGUAACGGCCUACCAAGGCGACGAUCCGUAGCUGGUCUGAGAGGACGACCAGCCACACUGGGACUGAGACACGGCCCAGACUCCUACGGGAGGCAGCAGUGGGGAAUAUUGGACAAUGGGGGAAACCCUGAUCCAGCGACGCCGCGUGUGUGAAGAAGGCCUG